rnacentral:hammerhead_ribozyme from 1 species
GCACUGCUGAGGAGUCUUGCAAUAGGACGAAACGGUCGUCCAGUGC